AACGUAGGAGGCGAGCGUUAUCCGGAGUUACUGGGCGUAAAGCGCGUGUAGGUGGCUUGUUACGUCUGCUGUGAAAGCUCCCGGCUUAACCGGGACUAGGCGGUAGAUACGGGCAAGCUAGAGGGUGACAGAGGAGCGUAGAAUUCCGGGUGUAGUGGUGAAAUGCGUAGAGAUCCGGAAGAACACCGGUGGCGAAGGCGGCAUCCUGGACCAACACUGACACUGAUGAGCGAAAGCCAGGGGAGCAAACGGG
rnacentral:rRNA from 1 species